rnacentral:rRNA from 1 species
CAACUUACCUAUCAGAGGGGGAUAGCCCGGCGAAAGUCGGAUUAAUACCCCAUGAAACAGGGGUCCCGCAUGGGAAUAUUUGUUAAAGAUUCAUCGCUGAUAGAUAGGCAUGCGUUCCAUUAGGCAGUUGGCGGGGUAACGGCCCACCAAACCGACGAUGGAUAGGGGUUCUGAGAGGAAGGUCCCCCACAUUGGUACUGAGACACGGACCAAACUCCUACGGGAGGCAGCAGUGAGGAAUAUUGGUCAAUGGCCGAGAGGCUGAACCAGCCAAGUCGCGUGAAGGAAGAAGGAUCUAUGGUUUGUAAACUUCUUUUAUAGGGGAAUAAAGUGGAGGACGUGUCCUUUUUUGUAUGUACCCUAUGAAUAAGCAUCGGCUAACUCCGUGCCAGCAGCCGCGGUAAUACGGAGGAUGCGAGCGUUAUCCGGAUUUAUUGGGUUUAAAGGGUGCGUAGGUGGUGAUUUAAGUCAGCGGUGAAAGUUUGUGGCUCAACCAUAAAAUUGCCGUUGAAACUGGGUUACUUGAGUGUGUUUGAGGUAGGCGGAAUGCGUGGUGUAGCGGUGAAAUGCAUAGAUAUCACGAAGAACUCCGAUUG